rnacentral:rRNA from 1 species
UACGUAGGGGGCAAGCGUUGUCCGGAAUCAUUGGGCGUAAAGAGCGUGUAGGCGGCUCGAUAAGUCUGCUGUGAAAGUCCAGGGCUCAACCCUGGAAGGCCGGUGGAAACUGUCGGGCUAGAGUCCGGAAGAGGCGAGUGGAAUUCCCGGUGUAGCGGUGAAAUGCGCAGAUAUCGGGAGGAACACCAAUGGCGAAGGCGGGUCUCUGGACAGUUCCUGACACUGAGACACGAAGGCCAGGGGAGCAAACGGG